GCUUGAUUUAGAUAUUACACAAUGUAUACAUAUUUUAAGACAUCAUGCUGUACACCAUAAUAUAUACAAUUUUUAUUUGUCAAUUAAAACAUUUUUUAAAAAACACAUGAAUCUCAUGGUACAUGGACUUGCAUUAAAGAUUGGGGUUCAAAUUCUGCCCCUUACUACUUACCUAGCAUGGUAAGUAACGAUCUUGGUGUUUUGCCUUUUCUUUCCUUUGCCCCAUCUCUCUACUGCUAUUUAGUUGAGACCUCCAUCAUCUUUCACCAAGAUCAACAUAACAGUCUCCUAACUGGUCUCUCUGUCUCCAAUCUUACCCUCUACAGUCUGUCAUCAAUCCUAAUGAUAAAUGGAAAUGUGGUCAUCCAAAGUCCUCCAUCAAAACCCUUCAGUGACUCCCCAUUGGCCAGAGGGCAAAGUUGGAGCUUCAAAGCAAUGAUUCAUAGUUAAUUCAAUGAUCUUUGUAAUCCUUUAUGAUCAGUUUCCUCUUUUCACUCAGUGGCAGAUACUUGUAGUUGUCCUCAAAUUUCAUACUCUCAUUUUUCUUUAUUAAUAUAACCACACAUUUUUAACUGAGCUCAUUGAUCAUCAUAACAGAGUCUAUUGAAAGUCCUCAGCAGGCGGUGUGACGAUGUGACCAGCUCUGGCCAAGGAGCUGUAGGCAGAAGUGUCUUGCAGCAGCUCCUGUAAAUCUUAAAAGACAGCUGGUGCGUGUCUUUUUUCCUUUUUUUUUCCCUUCCCCCUUCCUGCUGCGCUGAAUAUGGAUAUGGUGAGUGAAUCUAGAGCAGCCAUUUGGAGGUAUGAAGAGAUCUUGGAAAUAGAGGCCAUGUGUGUUGAAACAAGACCGAACAACUCCAAGUUCCUGAAGACUUCAUUUCACCAACCCAGAACCUCCUUGAUCAUCACAGCCUUUGCAUGGAUGAUUGUCUGUCCUCUGUUGGGCCCCUUCUGAAGAGUUGGAGUUGGUUGCAAACUAUAGAAACCAUUUGGGCUGGUUUGAGCAUAAAAGGAAAUUACUGGGAGUUAUUAGGUGCUCGGUGAUUCAUUGGGAGGUCUGGCAAAAAAGAAGCUCAAGGCUAAGCUCAUAGGAACACAGCCCGGCAUCUCACACAGAAGUGGCUUGAUGAGGAUUCUACUGCCUCCACAGCUCCUGCCAUCAUCUUCAUCUGCACCAUAGAUGCUCAGAACCCAGUCUGUGUCUGCAUGUUGCUGACUUCCAAAUGAGAGCUUCAUGAGAGUGUAUUUGGUUGGUAGAACAUAGGUCCCAGACCUUCUCCCUGGGAGCUGGAAGAGAUGCUGGGAAAUUCUGCCCUGGAAAAAUAAAACUCACAAUGUGGGAAACAAAGAAAAUGUACAGCAGGGGUUUAACAGAAUGACAGCUACAGUUUAGACUCCUGUGGUACAGUUGGCUUUCCCAGGCUCCCGGCGUCCAUGCUGUCUCGGCGCUAUCUCGCAGCCUGACGCCACGCGCCAUCUGCUGGCCUUGAGCUGCAUAGCUCUAGAGUAACUUCAGAGGCCACGGGGGAACAAAGAGCACUCGCCUACUUGACUGAGCUCCGACAGGCCGUCCCUCUGCUUCAGGUGUAGGCGUGAACAAGUCCAGACCACUACCUUAACAGGUCACUGAUGGGAACUUUGACCAGCAUCCUUGUUCCUCCCUCAACUUAUGGUCACCCUAAAAAAGCUAAGGCAUAGAUUUCAAAUUCUGGAGCCAGUUUUUGUAUUUAGGUCUCCAAGUACAGAGAGAAACUGGCAGACAGGGGUGGAGAAGUAUUGAGAACGAAUUCGGACACCCUGAAAGCGGAGUUCUAGAUCCAGUGUUGCCAGCAACGAGCCAAGAGACCUUUCUUCACAAGUUGAUUUACCUUUCCAUGUUUCAGUUUUCUCAUAAUUCCUGCCCUUAUUCCCUUCUCACCACCCCUGAUCCCCUCCCCUUUCCUGAUUGGGUAACAGGACAGGAAGCAGCAGAGCAUUCUAUGAAGCUUCCUCCUCAACGUCCUAGAGUAGCGGGUCUCAGUCUUCACUACACAGUCAAGUCCCAUGGUGCAUUUUUCAAACUUGCAUACCUGGCCCUUCCUGUGCUGAAUUCUGGUCUGCCCAUAAUUUGCUCCCUCCUUUCUCACUGUUUUCCUUUCUCCCUUCCUUGUUUUCUUUCCUAUCCCUUGCUGUCUCUGUUAGAACUUCUUUUUCCUGGUAUCUAGCCAAUCUCUUAACCCUGUUUUACUUUACUGUCCUAAGAUGCUGUCUUCUCAUGCCUACAUGUACUUUCUUUAAAAAAAAAACUGUUUAAAAAACAUUGUGUGGGAGGAGCCAAGAUGGCCAAAUAGGAACAGCUCCAGCCUACAGCUCCCAGCGUGAGCGAUGCAGAAGAUGGGUGAUUUCUGCAUUUCCAUCUGAGGUACCAGGUUCAUCUCACUAGGGAGUGCCAGACAGUGGGCACAGGUCAGUGGGUGCACGCACCAUGCGCGAGCCGAAGCAGGGCGAGGCUUUGCCUCUCUCAGGAAGCCCAAGGGGUCAGGGAGUUCCCUUUCCUAGUCAAAGAAAGUGGUGACAGACGGCACCUGGAAAAUCGGGUCACUCCCGAAUACUGCGCUUUUCCAACGGGCUUAAAAACUGGCGCACCGGGCCGGGCGCGGUGGCUCACGCCUGUAAUCCCAGCACUUUGGGAGGCCGAGGCGGGCGGAUCACGAGGUCAGGAGAUCGAGACCAUCCCG
rnacentral:lncRNA from 10 species